GACGAACGCUGGCGGCGUGCCUAACACAUGCAAGUCGAACGGAGAUACCCGAGCAGAAGCAUUUAUGUGGAAGCAUGGACUAUCUUAGUGGCGGACGGGUGAGUAACGCGUGAGCAACCUGUCCCACAGAGGGGGAUAACAACGGGAAACUGUUGCUAAUACCGCAUAAGACCACACUAUCACCUGGUAGAGGGGUCAAAGGAGCAAUCCGCUGUGGGGUGGGCUCGCGUCCCAUUAGAUAGUUGGUAGGGUAAUGGCCUACCAAGUCGACGAUGGGUAGCCGGACUGAGAGGGUGAUCGGCCACACUGGGACUGAGACACGGCCCAGACUCCUACGGGAGGCAGCAGUGGGGAAUAUUGGGCAAUGGGCGCAAGCCUGACCCAGCAACGCCGCGUGAAGGAAGAAGGUUUUCGGAUUGUAAACUUCUGUCCUUGGGGAAGAAACAAAUGACGGUACCCAGGAAGGAAGCCCCGGCUAACUACGUGCCAGCAGCCGCAGUAAAAC
rnacentral:rRNA from 1 species